rnacentral:lncRNA from 1 species
GAAGGCAGUUGCUAUUCUUCCUCACUGGGAAAUGGUGAAUUACACUGUCCAUCAGUAGAGCCAGUAACAAAGGCAAAUGCCACAGGGCCUAUGCCUUCUUUCUUUGAGAAAACCAGACCAUUGUAGGGAGUAGCUGUGACUCCCAGAGCUGCAUCCUAACCCAGGAAGAAGAACAGAACCUGCAGAGUGGAAACCUACAAAGGACUGGAUAUGUCCUGCUCUGUUUACUUCUCAUCGUUGGCCUAUCUUCUCAUCUCUCUAGUUAGUUGUGAUGGCAGUUCAACCAUGAGACUGGAUGACUCUGUUGAAUCCCAGUUUUGCUGUGCUGUGUUUAACACAGCACAGAGAUUUGUUUCCUUUGGAAUCUUUGGGUUGGACAAA